rnacentral:rRNA from 2 species
UUUUUUCCAGGUUGACCUCGGAUCAGGUAGGGAUACCCGCUGAACUUAA